ensembl:lncRNA
AGAAUAUGAGACAGGCCACAUGCUGUGCCCUGAGAAAGGUACAGACUGAGUGUGCUGGGCUUUCAGAGGAGAGAGGAAUCAGAUUUGGCCGGCACUGUUCCAAACAGGCUUUAUGAGCUGGAGCUUGAGAGGUGGGUAGACCUUGGAAGAUGGGUCCUCCCAGCAUGGGGGAAAUGGCACAGCAGACUGUGGAGGUUGGAAGAAGGGAGAAGAAAGGACUUUCCGAAUUGCGUUGGAAACUUUUUUAAUGAUCUCCUUAGCAGGGGCGAACUCAUCCUUACAGAUGCCUGCGGUCAGCGACGACUCAACUCUCUCGGAGGCUCCCUCGAGCGGGAGGAGCGAGCUUACGGCCUACUCGCGGCUCCCUCCCCUGCUUGUCGCUCUGGACCUCCACGUGGCCGGUUCGCGCAGCCCUCUGCCUUCUCGCCCCUCCAUUCUAGCGUUUCGCGCCGCCCCCCACGCCCCGGCCGGACCUGAAUGGGCUCUGCCCACUCGGGAGAGGCAUUCACCUCACCCAGCCCGGCAGGUGUGGCCCGCCAGACAAGUUGAUCGUCCCCUUCUCCCACCACUCUGGGAGGCCUCUGGAGGUCUUGGCAUGGUGGGGGGUCGUAACUGUUAGUUGCAGAUGGAAGUAGAAAUUUGGUCUAGAGUGGAGGGGAGCAGAAGACGACGCUGGGAGAGAUGGGAUGGAUGCAGGGCAAGGAAGUCUUCUCCAUCUCUGUCCUCGGUUGACCCAGAGUUCAGAGUCUCUUCCUGUCCCCUCCCCUCAAAACCACUAGGCCCCUGAAGAUUACCCCGCAGGGAAGAAGCAGGUGGGGAGGUGCUUUGAAGCCUGAGACCCCGCUUUUCUGCCUUACCCACCCUCCCACCCAAAGCCACAACAAAGACUCACGAAUCCUGCCACCCAGCCACAAGGCUUCUCCUUCCUCCUCUGGGCCUCUGUCCCCUCGGGUCUGGUGGGGCCAUUGUGAGGAUGACAGCCGCAGGGCGGGAGCUCAGAUGUCUGCCCAAACCAGGACUCUUCCUGGGGGGUGGGGACCUUUCCUACACCCCAGUCUCCUGGGGUGUCUGCAAGGUUUCCACCCCCCACCCCCACCCCACAUCCCGGGACACAGUGUACCUGGAGUGUGCCAGGGCAGGCAGGGAGGGGCUCCAUCCUCUGCCAAGUUCCAGGAAAUGCCCUGGCAGUCAGCACAGUCCUGGGCUCCAGGGCCUUCCAAGGUGGGGCGGGGGGUGGGUGGGGCAGGAUCCUAGGCUGCUGACAUGCCUCACCUGGGCCUCAACCCCCACUUCCCAGGCAUCUCGGGCACCUUUUGUAGCCAAAGUUGAGACGAUGGGUGCCAACCAUCUUCCCACACAUACAGGCGUCCUUCCCACACAUGUGCUUACCCAGCCAACGCUCACCAAAUCCCUCAGUCAGGAGCCACUUUCACUGUGUCGACUCCAGCCUUCUACCUGAUGGAUAAAAUCUUUCCACAGUAUCCCAGGCCAAUGUUCUGAAGCUGUUUGCAUACCCACAGUGACGAGGACACUCUUUUACGAGGCAGCCACAACUCUUUAGGAUGUCCCUGUGUCCAAGUCCAAUCGCCUAGAGGAUACCUGCCCUCACAUGGCCCAGGAGGGACGGAACUCACCCUCAGGUCCCUCACACCAGCUCCUCCUCCUUGCCUGCAGUAACCUUCCUACUGCCCAAACUCACCAUGAAGGAGGAUUAAUUCUUAACUCUUGGGCCUUCCCUGAUGGACCUGGUUACGAAUCUGUCUUGCAAUCCAAGGGAUGCCAGUUCGAUCCCUGGUCUGGAAAGAUCCCACAUGCAAUGGAGCAACAAAGUCUGUGUACCACAACUGCUGACCCCACACUUAAGAGCCCUUGAGCCACAACUACUAAAGCCCGUGCACCCAGAGCCCAUGUGCUCUAUAGCAAGAGAAGCCACUGCAAUGAGAAACCCGUGCACUGCAACUAGAGAGCAGCCCCCACUGGCUGCAUCUCGAGAAAGCCUGUGUUCAGCAAUGAAGACCCAGUGCAGGCAAAAAUAAAAAUCUAAAAAAAAAUUAACUUAAAAAUUUCUUAACUGUUUUCUCUCCUUCACCAUCUAUUACCAAAUUCUUCCCACUCCUGCUUUUAUUACAAGGUGUAUUGUUACUUUCCUCACGCCUUCCUUUCCAAUACCAUAGAUUCCACCUUUGGCCCAAAUUCCCACAGUCACUGCCACACUGUCCU